GACGAACGCUGGCGGCGGGCUUAACACAUGCAAGUCGAACGGAAAGGCCGCUUUCGCGGGGUACUCGAGUGGCGAACGGGUGAGUAACACGUGAGUAACCUGCCCUUGACUUUGGGAUAACUUCAGGAAACUGGGGCUAAUACCGGAUAGGAGCUCCUGCUGCAGGGUGGGGGUUGGAAAGUUUCGGCGGUUGGGGAUGGACUGGCGGCUUAUCAGCUUGUUGGUGGGGUAGUGGCUUACCAAGGCUUUGACGGGUAGCCGGCCUGAGAGGGUGACCGGCGACCUUGGGACUGAGAUACGGCCCAGAUUCCUAAGGGAGGCAGAAGUGGGGAAUAUUGCACCAUCGGUGGCAGCCUGAUGCAGCAACGCCGUGUGCGGGAUGACGGCCUUCGGGUUGUAAACCGCUUUCGCUCAUGACGCCGCUUUGUGUGACGGUAGUGGGUAAAGAAGCACCGGCUAACUACGUG
rnacentral:rRNA from 1 species